UGGGACAAGCCCUGGAAACGGGGUCUAAUACCGGAUAUCACUUCCACUCGCAUGGGUGGGGGUUGAAAGCUCCGGCGGUGAAGGAUGAGCCCGCGGCCUAUCAGCUUGUUGGUGAGGUAAUGGCUCACCAAGGCGACGACGGGUAGCCGGCCUGAGAGGGCGACCGGCCACACUGGGACUGAGACACGGCCCAGACUCCUACGGGAGGCAGCAGUGGGGAAUAUUGCACAAUGGGCGAAAGCCUGAUGCAGCGACGCCGCGUGAGGGAUGACGGCCUUCGGGUUGUAAACCUCUUUCAGCAGGGAAGAAGCGAAAGUGACGGUACCUGCAGAAGAAGCGCCGGCUAACUACGUGCCAGCAGCCGCGGUAAUACGUAGGGCGCAAGCGUUGUCCGGAAUUAUUGGGCGUAAAGAGCUCGUAGGCGGCUUGUCACGUCGGGUGUGAAAGCCCGGGGCUUAACCCCGGGUCUGCAUUCGAUACGGGCUAGCUAGAGUGUGGUAGGGGAGAUCGGAAUUCCUGGUGUAGCGGUGAAAUGCGCAGAUAUCAGGAGGAACACCGGUGGCGAAGGCGGAUCUCUGGGCCAUUACUGACGCUGAGGAGCGAAAGCGUGGGGAGCGAACAGGAUUAGAUACCCUGGUAGUCCACGCCGUAAACGGUGGGAACUAGGUGUUGGCGACAUUCCACGUCGUCGGUGCCGCAGCUAACGCAUUAAGUUCCCCGCCUG
rnacentral:rRNA from 1 species